AUACGUAGGGGGCGAGCGUUGUCCGGAAUUACUGGGCGUAAAGAGCUCGUAGGUGGUUUGUCGCGUCGUCUGUGAAAUUCCGGGGCUUAACUCCGGGCGUGCAGGCGAUACGGGCAUAACUUGAGUACUGUAGGGGAGACUGGAUUUCCUGGUGUAGCGGUGAAAUGCGCAGAUAUCAGGAGGAACACCGGGGGCGAAGGGGGGUCUCUGGGCAGUAACUGAGGCGGAGGAGCGAAAGCAUGGGUAGCGAACAGGAUUAGAUACCCUGGUAGUCCAUGCCGUAAACGGUGGGCGCUAGGUGUAGGGGUCUUCCACGACUUCUGUGCCGUAGCUAACGCAUUAAGCGCCCCGCCUGGGGAGUACGGCCGCAAGGCUAAAACUCAAAUGAAUUGGCGGGG
rnacentral:rRNA from 1 species